rnacentral:rRNA from 1 species
UACGUAGGGUGCAAGCGUUGUCCGGAAUUAUUGGGCGUAAAGAGCUCGUAGGCGGUUUGUCGCGUCUGCUGUGAAAAUCCAGGGCUCAACCCUGGACCUGCAGUGGGUACGGGCAGACUGGAGUGCGGUAGGGGAGAUCGGAAUUCCUGGUGUAGCGGUGAAAUGCGCAGAUAUCAGGAGGAACACCGGUGGCGAAGGCGGAUCUCUGGGCCGUAACUGACGCUGAGGAGCGAAAGCGUGGGGAGCAAACAGG